UUUAUAGGCAAAGCAAUCGUGAGGUUGUGACGCAAAGCUAAAGGGUCUUGAUAUGGAUUAAGGCAGCCAGUUGC
rnacentral:ncRNA from 1 species